UACGAAGGGUGCUAGCGUUGCUCGGAAUCACUGGGCGUAAAGCGCACGUAGGCGGCUUUUUAAGUCAGGGGUGAAAUCCUGGAGCUCAACUCCAGAACUGCCUUUGAUACUGAGAAGCUUGAGUCUGGGAGAGGUGAGUGGAACUGCGAGUGUAGAGGUGAAAUUCGUAGAUAUUCGCAAGAACACCAGUGGCGAAGGCGGCUCACUGGCCCGGUACUGACGCUGAGGUGCGAAAGCGUGGGGAGCAAACAGG
rnacentral:rRNA from 1 species